rnacentral:rRNA from 1 species
GGUUACUGCUAUCGGUGUUCGCCUAAGCCAUGCGAGUCAUAUGUUCGUAAGAACAUGGCGUACUGCUCAGUAACACGUGGAUAACCUGCCCUUGGGUCCGGCAUAACCCCGGGAAACUGGGGAUAAUUCCGGAUAACGCACAUAUGCUGGAAUGCUUUAUGCGUAAAAUGGAUUCGUCUGCCCAAGGAUGGGUCUGCGGCCUAUCAGGUAGUAGUGGGUGUAAUGUACCUACUAGCCUACGACGGGUACGGGUUGUGAGAGCAAUAGCCCGGAGAUGGAUUCUGAGACAUGAAUCCAGGCCCUACGGGGCGCAGCAGGCGCGAAAACUUUACAAUGCGGGAAACCGUGAUAAGGGGACACCGAGUGCCAGCAUCCUAUGCUGGCUGUCCGGGUGUGUAAAAUACACCUGUUAGCAAGGGCCGGGCAAGACCGGUGCCAGCCGCCGCGGUAACACCGGCGGCCCGAGUGGUGAUCGUGAUUAUUGGGUCUAAAGGGUCCGUAGCCGGUUUGGUCAGUCCUCCGGGAAAUCUGACAGCUUAACUGUUAGGCUUUCGGAGGAUACUGCCAGACUUGGAACCGGGAGAGGUAAGAGGUACUACAGGGGUAGGAGUGAAAUCUUGUAAUCCCUGUGGGACCACCUGUGGCGAAGGCGUCUUACCAGAACGGGUUCGACGGUGAGGGACGAAAGCUGGGGGCACGAACCGGAUUAGAUACCCGGGUAGUCCCAGCCGUAAACGAUGCUCGCUAGGUGUCAGGCAUGGCGCGACCGUGUCUGGUGCCACAGGGAAGCCGUGAAGCGAGCCACCUGGGAAGUACGGCCGCAAGGCUGAAACUUAA